rnacentral:rRNA from 1 species
ACGAACGCUGGCGGCAGGCUUAACACAUGCAAGUCGAACGCCCCGCAAGGGGAGUGGCAGACGGGUGAGUAACGCGUGGGAACAUACCCUUUUCUACGGAAUAGCUCUGGGAAACUGGAAUUAAUACCGUACACGCCCUACGGGGGAAAGAUUUAUCGGGGAAGGAUUGGCCCGCGUUGGAUUAGCUAGUUGGUGGGGUAAAGGCCUACCAAGGCGACGAUCCAUAGCUGGUCUGAGAGGAUGAUCAGCCACAUUGGGACUGAGACACGGCCCAAACUCCUACGGGAGGCAGCAGUGGGGAAUAUUGGACAAUGGGCGCAAGCCUGAUCCAGCCAUGCCGCGUGAGCGAUGAAGGCCUUAGGGUUGUAAAGCUCUUUCACCGAUGAAGAUAAUGACGGUAGUCGGAGAAGAAGCCCCGGCUAACUUCGUG